rnacentral:rRNA from 1 species
UCAUCUUCGGGGGUAGAGCACUGUUUCGGCUAGGGGGUCAUCCCGACUUACCAACCCGAUGCAAACUACGAAUACCGAAGAAUGUUAUCACGGGAGACACACGGCGGGUGCUAACGUCCGUCGUGAAGAGGGAAACAACCCAGACCGCCAGCUAAGGUCCCAAAGUCAUGGUUAAGUGGGAAACGAUGUGGGAAGGCACAGACAGCCAGGAUGUUGGCUUAGAAGCAGCCAUCAUUUAAAGAAAGCGUAAUAGCUCACUGGUCGAGUCGGCCUGCGCGGAAGAUGUAACGGGGCUAAACCAUGCACCGAAGCUGCGGCAGCGACGCUUAGGCGUUGUUGGGUAGGGGAGCGUUCUGUAAGCCGUUGAAGGUGGCCUGUGAGGGUUGCUGGAGGUAUCAGAAGUGCGAAUGCUGACAUAAGUAACGAUAAAGCGGGUGAAAAGCCCGCUCGCCGGAAGACCAAGGGUUCCUGUCCAACGUUAAUCGGGGCAGGGUGAGUCGACCCCUAAGGCGAGGCCGAAAGGCGUAGUCGAUGGGAAACAGGUUAAUAUUCCUGUACUCGGUGUUACUGCGAAGGGGGGACGGAGAAGGCUAUGUUAGCCGGGCGACGGUUGUCCCGGUUUAAGCAUGUAGGCGGGAAGUUUAGGUAAAUCCGGACUUCUGUUAACGCUGAGGUGUGAUGACGAGGCACUACGGUGCUGAAGUAACAAAUGCCCUGCUUCCAGGAAAAGCCUCUAAGCAUCAGGUAACAACGAAUCGUACCCCAAACCGACACAGGUGGUCAGGUAGAGAAUACCAAGGCGCUUGAGAGAACUCGGGUGAAGGAACUAGGCAAAAUGGUGCCGUAACUUCGGGAGAAGGCACGCUGAUGGUAGGUGAAGUGACUUGCUCAUGGAGCUGAAAUCAGUCGAAGAUACCAGCUGGCUGCAACUGUUUAUUAAAAACACAGCACUGUGCAAACACGAAAGUGGACGUAUACGGUGUGACGCCUGCCCGGUGCCGGAAGGUUAAUUGAUGGGGUUAUCCGUAAGGAGAAGCUCUUGAUCGAAGCCCCGGUAAACGGCGGCCGUAACUAUAACGGUCCUAAGGUAGCGAAAUUCCUUGUCGGGUAAGUUCCGACCUGCACGAAUGGCGUAAUGAUGGCCAGGCUGUCUCCACCCGAGACUCAGUGAAAUUGAACUCGCUGUGAAGAUGCAGUGUACCCGCGGCAAGACGGAAAGACCCCGUGAACCUUUACUAUAGCUUGACACUGAACAUUGAGCCUUGAUGUGUAGGAUAGGUGGGAGGCUUUGAAGCGUGGACGCCAGUCUGCGUGGAGCCAACCUUGAAAUACCACCCUUUAAUGUUUGAUGUUCUAACGUAGACCCGUGAUCCGGGUUGCGGACAGUGUCUGGUGGGUAGUUUGACUGGGGCGGUCUCCUCCCAAAGAGUAACGGAGGAGCACGAAGGUUAGCUAAUCCUGGUCGGACAUCAGGAGGUUAGUGCAAUGGCAUAAGCUAGCUUGACUGCGAGCGUGACGGCGCGAGCAGGUGCGAAAGCAGGUCAUAGUGAUCCGGUGGUUCUGAAUGGAAGGGCCAUCGCUCAACGGAUAAAAGGUACUCCGGGGAUAACAGGCUGAUACCGCCCAAGAGUUCAUAUCGACGGCGGUGUUUGGCACCUCGAUGUCGGCUCAUCACAUCCUGGGGCUGAAGUAGGUCCCAAGGGUAUGGCUGUUCGCCAUUUAAAGUGGUACGCGAGCUGGGUUUAGAACGUCGUGAGACAGUUCGGUCCCUAUCUGCCGUGGGCGCUGGAGAAUUGAGGGGGGCUGCUCCUAGUACGAGAGGACCGGAGUGGACGCAUCACUGGUGUUCGGGUUGUCAUGCCAAUGGCAUUGCCCGGUAGCUAAAUGCGGAAAAGAUAAGUGCUGAAAGCAUCUAAGCACGAAACUUGCCCCGAGAUGAGUUCUCCCUGACUCCUUGAGAGUCCUGAAGGAACGUUGAAGACGACGACGUUGAUAGGUCGGGUGUGUAAGCGUAGCGAUACGUUGAGCUAACCGAUACUAAUGAACCGUGAGGCUUAACCUU